rnacentral:sRNA from 1 species
UUUUGUUUCCUUUGCUCUCUCUCCCUGUUACCUCUGUUGGUUUUUGUCACUGGUGUUCUUUGUUCUCUCAUGUUCUAUCUUGCUUUUCUAUCAACUUAAAGCUUUCCGGGUUCCAGUUUCCAGGUGCUUGAGGUCAAUCCCGUUCUGUUUGCAACAUACUAGCGAUGAUUUAAAACAUUUUACGGUGGACAAUCAAUUGGAAACAGCUUCAAAUGGGAAGUUUUCGCAAGGGACGCAUGUAAGUGGGGUUUGCCCGAUGCCGAUGGAGAAUGCUUUUUGGAAUUCCAUUAAGGGAAAUUUUGGGUUUUAUUGAAGAAAUUUUAAACCCAUAAAGCUUGGGUUUCCUGGUGGACUAUGCCGUUUGAGAAACUAUGUACUCAAACGCUCUCAACGAAUACCCGCUUUCUCCCUCUCUCUCAUGAUAAUUGAUACGGAGUACCAGACCCAGAGAAGCAUUCAGGCGGGCAAGAGAUAAUGAAUUGACAAAGCAGAAAGCUUUGGAGAAAGCUAGAAAGCUUAAGGUAAAAAAACUGCAUGUUACAAAGGAAAAACCACACCAGCGCACACUUGGAAAUAGCUAGAGGUUUCAUGGGAAUUUUCAGCUAUUUGCAAUAAUGAGAAUACAAAGUAAUAGGUUUGUCAUCUUUUGAUUUAUAUUAAUUUUUUAUUGUUUUGUACAUUAAUAAUUAUGCGACUGAUUAUAUUUUAUUGUGCUAAUGUGUAGUGCAUAUAACUUUAGCCAACAUUAUAGAAUCCAUUUUCUGUUGAAAAUUUUGAAUGUUCUGUGAUGGAAAAGGUUAUGAUAAAUUGCAAGGUAGAAAUUCUGUUAUGAGUUCUUUAGCUGAUUUGGGGCAUCUUUCUUUACGAUGUUUAAUUUCAUCUAGAAACAAAUAGUGUUUAGAAUCACCAAGUGGUACAAAAAAGUAUUUUAAAUUGUUUUUUAACCAAUCUAUUGCCAACUUUUCCAACAGGUUUCUUAUUUUAUUUUCCAUUAUUAUUGUGUGCGUGGACAGCUUGCAGAAAUUACAAGUUUUAAAACCCGCAGCAUCGCGCGGGCACUGUUGCUAGUUAAUGUACUAAAGAACUUAUGACACUUCAAAUUCCUAUUGAGUCUGCAUACUAAAAUUCAAGUGUUCAACUCUUUUUACAAAAUCGGACGCACGGAAAGUUGAUACAACGAUACCUACGGGAAAUGGCAGUAGCCACUUUGUGUUUGGCUU